UGCCAGCAGCCGCGGUAAGACGGAGGGUGCAAACGUUGUUCGGAAUCACUGGGCAUAAAGAGCACGUAGGCGGUCCGUUAAGUCAGAUGUGAAAUCCCCCGGCUCAACCGGGGAACUGCACCUGAUACUGACGGACUCGAGGACGGUAGGGGUGAGCGGAACUCCAGGUGGAGCGGUGAAAUGCGUAGAUAUCUGGAGGAACACCGGUGGCGAAAGCGGCUCACUGGACCGUCUCUGACGCUGAGGUGCGAAAGCUAGGGUAGCAAACGGGAUUAGAUA
rnacentral:rRNA from 1 species